UACAGAGGGGGCAAGCGUUGUUCGGAAUUACUGGGCGUAAAGGGCGCGUAGGCGGCCUUCUAAGUCGAACGUGAAAUCCCCGGGCUCAACCUGGGAACUGCGUCCGAUACUGGAUGGCUUGAAUUCGGGAGAGGGAUGCAGAAUUCCAGGUGUAGCGGUGAAAUGCGUAGAUAUCUGGAGGAAUACCGGUGGCGAAGGCGGCAUCCUGGACCGACAUUGACGCUGAGGAGCGAAAGCUAGGGGAGCAAACGGG
rnacentral:rRNA from 1 species